AUGGCGCGCGGGCGGGAAGUGCCGCGCCGGCAGGGGCGCGAGGCAGAGCGGGCGGCGACGGAAGAGGUGGGAGAUGGUGGGCUGCUGUGUGAGAAUCUCCAGCAAAGGAAGACAAAGAGUACUCUGCGUUGUCAGGCAGUUCAGAAGACCAGAGAUGCAGUUCACACUAAGCUAUUAAUCCUAACAGAUGAUCAUCAUGAUUUACCCACUGACUUCAGCUGUGGAGCAUUCUUGAGGGGUAGGAACCUCUUUUUCUUUCAGAACAAAUAUUGUAAACCUGUGAACCAAAUUGACCAAGCUGUAGGUUGGGCAGAGGGAAGUCAUCUGUAGUGUGUUUGAUGUCUCAAAGCAGUAUUUUGUUGUUUUGCUCUAGGUUUCUCUUAAACAGUUUCUUCCAAAGUGAAAAACAUGCUGUUGAGAAUGAAGUCAAANACUCAAAGUUUUUUUUUACUAAAAAGCUUUCUUUGAUAAAUGGUUAUUUUUAUCAAGACUUCUAAGUGUAUUAAAUUGCAUUAGUCAUGUCUUGUUCAGUACUCAUCACUGAAAUAUUAGCUUCUCAGGGCUGAGGUGAUAAAAAACGUGCAAUGUACUUGAAUACUCAGUAAUAUGUUACUGUCAUGAUACCUGUUUUCAGGGAAGGUUUAGUCUGUGGGGGAAAAAAAGUCUAUUGAUCUAUCGUUUCUUCUUCUUUCUCUAUUAUUAAGCCUCCACAUAUGGAGAGCUGGCUGGACAGUUCCCCAUGCUGUUUCUGGACAUAGACACUAAUUUAAAAUAUCGGUAUUGAAUCUAAGUUGAUGCCAUUUGUGUUUGAAUCCACAAACUGAGAACCUCCUGGAAACACAAGAUAUACUGUUCCCUCUGUAAUGCUUUAAUGUGCCUUCCUGUAAGAGUUCCUAUGCACAAUUGGAGGCUCUUUUAAGUUCCUGCAAUUGGAACACAGGACACAAUAUAUUUUUCUGAUAGCCUUAAAGAAAUGAGUCAAGGAUGAGCAUAAACAUUGAAGAAAAAGGCUGAGUUUCCCCAGCUGAGAAAUAAGUGAUACUGACAGAUGCAGUAUGCACUUGCUAGUUUUUUAUUACAUUUAAAAAAUGUAUUUCAGGUGCAUAUUCCUCUUUUACCUUGACAAUUUUUGCUAAAGGAGAGACUUCAAACUGCAGCUUCCCCACCUGGCAAGCAUUCAUGCAUUUUUUUUUUAAGAAAACAGAUGACUUUGUUUAGAUAAACUCUUUCCUGUGGCCUUGUAGAGUAUCAGGUGGUUCAUGUACAAGGCCAGAGAAGGCUGCCUGGUGAGUGCAGAAAAAUAAAGAUGCAAUCUUUAUUGUUAGUCAUUUAAUUAAUCUUAAAUUAUAAUUAGAAUUUAAUUGCAACUAUUUUCCCUAAAUGCAUUUUGUAUGUAUUUUUGACAAGUACAUGCUUCACUGUUCUAAUGCAGAAGCUUCUUGCAAUGGCAUAUUUCUGUAGCUUGCUAUUAACACAGGUAUAAGAAAGAAAAAGAGGUAAACAUCUGAGAAGAAAGACAUAAAACAGUGAUAGAGAACCCAGAAACAGGUGAGAUCUAAAUAAAUUGCAGCAAUUGAUCUUCUACUUGCUAAAUUUAUAUAAAGAAAUAUAGGAUAAAAUUACCAUCUUUCUCAGUACAUAAUAAUGUAAAUUCAGAAGGUUGGAAAAAGACCUUAUCCUUAAUUAUUACAUUAAGGAGGUUACAUGCUCGACGACACUCUCAGAGCUGUGUUUUUUCUCAACAGGAUGCAGUCCUAGAUAUCUUCUCGGACAUUUUUCAGCAAAGAAAUACCUGGCUUGAAUAAUGAAUUGCUCCAGCUAAAUGAGCAAACUAACUCCAACAUUGGCUAGCUUUACUUAAAAACAUGAGCUCAACCUCUAUAGUCCAGACUCCAGCUGUGGUUAACUCAGAUUUGAUUGUAGAUCUGGACUCUGAAUCUCUCUCAGAUCUCUGUCUUGAUUAUGUUCCCUGGUUUACAGCCAGCUGCAACUUUUUUCUGCUAAGGCUCUGUCAGGCAGUGUCCUAGUUAUGAAACCAUAUCUUCGCUAUGUUUAAGUCCCCAAGAGAACUGAAUCUACACCAGAUUUAAUUAAANUGUAUACUAUAUAACAUCUGUAUACUUAUUAACUUUACACAUUCUAUACCACCUGAUACAGGUGGAAGAAGCAAGUAUGUGUGUAGAUGCACAAAUCCUUUCCAGCUCUUACAUUUCUAGAUAAACUGUGUUGGAUGUUUCAAUAAAACACCCAUUUAUUUCCAUUGUUGUGAGUUAUUUGGAUCUAGGAAUUUUAGUUUGAGUUAAGAAAGAGCCUGUAGCAGCUCUGGUCUAUUUUUCUUCCUUGUGAACUCGUAAUUAUCUCUUACAAUCAG
ensembl:lncRNA